UGAGGAAGAUGCUCUAUAAUCUGGACAUAAGAGUGAGGAAGAUGCUCUAUAAUCUGGAUGUUAGAGGAGGAAGAUGCUCUAUAAUCUGGAUGUUAGAGGAGGAAGAUGCUCUAUAAUCUGCCAGUCAUAGGAUUGUUCCGUCACCUGGAAGUGAAGCGUGUGGACACGGGCCCUCAGGUAUAAACUUGUGUAAAUGUAGAAACAAAAUGGUACAAAACUCUCGUUGUCGUGCGCCUAGCGUCGUCAUUAGCAUGUUAGCAUCAGAUUUCACUCCAAGCCACCGUCAGAGUUUCCUCUAAAGACUUUUAUAUCCUUCCAGUUGCUCUCGAGAUUAAACAGACAAAACCAAACAUUUGGAAAAUGUAAGAAAUUCAUUGUUUAUCCUAAACAAAGUGUGCACUUUGCGUCUCGGUAGCUAGCAGAGCAGAUUUAGCCAUCAGUCCCCUCCUGUGGACACUCGCUAGGUGUUUCAUUUCUCUCAGUAUUUUGCACUCUGUUGAUUCUGUUACUUUCAUGCGUUGAUUUUCCUUCAUGUCAACCAACUGGUCGUUCUUUUAGCAAUACUGGAUAGAUGAUGCCUUAAUGAUGCUAGAUUUCCAGAGGCUCGGACUCUCUGCUCCUCUUUCUUUCGUAGGUUUUUUUAUCUCGGGAAGCUGGAGGGAUUUCUCCCCUCUGAAGGCCCGUUUCUACCUUUUUGAUAGCUGACUGAUGAUUUCAACCGUUGAAUCGUGUGAAUAAGCGUCAUAGUGGUAACUGAAGUGUCCGACCAUUUUUUCCUAUUGUACUUUUUGUGUUGGGAUUCAAUGUUCUUUUGUUGUUGGUGCUACAGAGAAGUGAAAACGAGGACUUGUAGAAAACCAGAGACUGAAUCCAGAGGCGGCAGCCAGCGCGUCCAUCUCCUCCACCCGGGUGCGCGGAGCUUCGUUUUCUCCUCUCACUUCUCACAUAUUUACUCUCCUGCUCACGAUCCUCCCAAAACAUGUGAUACCCGGCGUGCUGCCGGCGUCCGAACGCCGAACAGAAGCUCCUCUCUGAACCAGUGCCUGUCUUCCAAACCUCUGUUUCUCCUCUUCUGUCCGAACGAACGCCGCCGAUUGACAGCUGUUGUCUGAAGGCACCCGGCUGCCGUUCUGCUGUUUUCACCCACGUUUUCAGACACACAUACACACUCUUCUGCCAGCAUCGGGACCAGUUUGUUGUGUUUCUUCCUUGACUCCUGAUUGGUCAGAUCCUGAAUGUACUUGGAAACGAUCGCUGCGGUUCUGGGUAAAGCAGCGUGUUUCUUUAUGAGUAGACAAUCACAGCAGAUUCAAAUCCUAAUAUGACUGUCCUGUUGGCAUCUCCAGAACUUCCAAGACUCCCAGAUAUUUCCAGAAAACUCAGAAGCUAUUGGGAAACAGAGAAAUAGAGUGUUGAGCAACCCCGGUGACGUGGUGUCACCAAAACCAAAACCUGAAGGAGUCCAGUCCGUCUCCUCCAGCCCACAGCAGAAGCUGAAGUGUGUGUGUGUGUCUCUCAUUUACCUGUCCUGUUUCCCGACGGCACUGUUCACUGAGGAGCUGUUUGGGUCGUACUGCUGGACCUGCAUGAGCAGCUUGUCCUGUCGGCAGCUCAUGUAGACGCCAGAAAGGAACCGAGAGCAGCUCGCUGAUUUAAACUGUAGCAAAGACGAAAGGAGAAUGUCCAAAAUGUUGAUGAAGACAUGAGCCCAUGAGACUCUGGGUCAGAGGUCUGAGUUUCAGGGUCGCAGGUCUGACCUGCAGAGUCUGAGCUUUGACCUUGAGCAUCUGAGGUUUGACCUCCAAGGUCGGUAGUUUGACCUUCAGGCUCUGAGGGAUGACCUUCAGAGUUUGAUGCCUGACCUUCAGUCUAAGGUUUGACCAUGAGAGUCAGAGCUUUGACCUUCAGGGUCUGAGGUUUGACCUUCAGAGUCUGAAGUUUGACCUUGAAAAUCUGAGGUUUGACCUUCAGAGUCUGAAGUUUGACCUUGAAAAUCUGAGGUUUGACCUUCAGAGUCUGAAGUUUGACCUUAAAAAUCUGAGGUUUGACCUUCAGAGAGAGGUUUGACCUUCAGAGUUUGAAGUUUGACCUUGAAAAUCUGAGGUUUGACCUUCAGAGUCUGAAGUUUGACCUUCAGAGACGGGUUUGACGUUCAGAGUCUGAAUUUUGACCUUGAAAAUCUGAGGUUUGACCUUGAGAGUCUGAGGUAUGACCUUGAAAAUCUGAGGUUUGACCUUCAGAGUCUGAGGUUUGACCUUCAGAGACAGGUUUGACGUUCAGAGUCUGAAUUUUGACCUUAUAAAUCUGAGGUUUGACCUUGAGAGUCUGAGGUAUGACCUUGAAAAUCUGAGGUUUGACCUUCAGAGUCUGAAGUUUGACCUUGAAAAUCUGAGGUUUGACCUUCAGAGUCUGAGGUUUGACCUUCAGAGACGGGUUUGACGUUCAGAGUCUGAAUUUUGACCUUGAAAAUCUGAGGUUUGACCUUCAGGGUCAGAGGUUUGACCUUGAGAAUCUGAGGUGUAACCUCCAGAUUGUGAUCCGAUUGGCUGAAGAGGCACGAAGCAUUUCUGAAGUGGUUUCUUUCCCAUGUUGCACUGGGGCGCUUUGGGCCCGCCUGUAAAUCCUUUUUAGUACCUUUUUUUAAAUUUAGUUUGAAUACGAGUUGUAUACUUUAAUAUGUUUGUGUAAAGACACAUCCGUUCCUUUAAGCUUUGAACUUUCCCUGUUCUGAAUGUCGUACUGUGGAUCUGUUUCUGUAUCGCAGCGUUGACGCUCCGAAUGAGUCGGACGGACGGCGAAGUUCACUAUCGGGAUAUGAAUUGCAUGAAAUGCAGUGACGUCUCUCAAAUGUGUUGCUAAAUACCAAGUAAUAACUAUGCAUCAUUUUAAAUGCAUUGUUCCCUGGAAAAAGAA